CUCAGUGUUUCAUGGACUUCCUUUUUGUGUUUGUGUUUGUUUAUGUUUUACACUGAAACUCAUGACUAUCCUGUGAUCUUCAGUCACAGAGGAAACCAAAUGUAGACCUAAGAAAAAAAGGCCAAAAACGAAGUGCUCGUACCACAGCAGACUACAGACUUUCCCAAUCCGGAAUAUAAAAGAAGAAAGAGUGAGGAAGGGCAAAGCUGAAGUUUUAGUUGACUGGGAACCCUGU